rnacentral:rRNA from 1 species
GAUGAACGCUGGCGGCGUGCCUAAUACAUGCAAGUCGAGCGAACGGACGAGAAGCUUGCUUUUCUGAUGUUAGCGGCGGACGGGUGAGUAACACGUGGAUAACCUACCUAUAAGACUGGGAUAACUUCGGGAAACCGGAGCUAAUACCGGAUAAUAUUUUGAACCGCAUGGUUCAAUAGUGAAAGACGGUUUUGCUGUCACUUAUAGAUGGAUCCGCGCCGCAUUAGCUAGUUGGUAAGGUAACGGCUUACCAAGGCAACGAUGCAUAGCCGACCUGAGAGGGUGAUCGGCCACACUGGAACUGAGACACGGUCCAGACUCCUACGGGAGGCAGCAGUAGGGAAUCUUCCGCAAUGGGCGAAAGCCUGACGGAGCAACGCCGCGUGAGUGAUGAAGGUCUUCGGAUCGUAAAACUCUGUUAUUAGGGAAGAACAUAUGUGUAAGUAACUGUGCACAUCUUGACGGUACCUAAUCAGAAAGCCACGGCUAACUACGUG